CGGGAACAUCAAUUGCUGCUUUGUUACCUCUCUCAACCUUGUCUAUGCUUUCUUUGUUGCACAGAGAAACAGGCCCGAUGCACCAAACUUUUCCUUGUUUGCCUUUCUUGCAGCCUUCAACAAAUGCCGACUCUAUCUCUUCGAAGGUAUUUAUAAUAGCCCCGUAUGUUUUCUUUUCAGCAGCCCAAAUUUUCUCUCGAAGCUCUUUCAUGUCAUCACGCUUAUGGGUGGGUAUUGGUAUCUGAACUCUUGUAAAUCCGAUGUGAUCAGGCAAACCAGGUAUCUUAAAGUAUUCUGAAUCAGAUGAAACAUUCUCGUGAACCUUUGAAUCGCGCAAUAGGUUCAUGCACAAGAGACAGAAGCAAGAAAAUCCAUGGAAAAUAAUCCUUGGAACAUUGAACUUGGCAGCAGUAUCGACCG
rnacentral:lncRNA from 1 species